CCAGCCGCGCCAUGGGGGAGGGGCGGGGCGGGCCGCGCGAGACCCGGGAAACAUGGCUGCUCGUCCUAUUUCGGCGUCGCGGCGUGGCCACCAGCCCCCGGAUCAGAGUUGGGAGAGGCUCCCAAGAGGCUCCCGCGCCGGCGGAAUUCAAUCAAUAAACCCCGAACCCACGGCCGCGCGUUUUAGGACUUUGAAGGCUCAACCAGCUCCGCUCGGUUCUCGAGCCCCCAGCACCCGCGGCGCACACUAACCUGAUCACCGUGGAGGCGGGAUCGGCGGCCUCGCGAAUGAGUAGCAGCAGCGUUAGCCAAUCGCCGCCGCCGAUCUCCGGGCAACAGCGAAUGGUGGUGGAGGCGGGGGGGGAAGGGACCAAUGGGCGGGCAGCGCAGCCGGCCAGGGAGGCUCAGCCAUUUGGUUGUGGUGCCGGAGACGGACCCCUUUAGAUUUCGGGGCGGCUGAGGAGCGCGGCGGCAGCUCGGUCGCUGAGCGAGGGGGGUGGGCGGAAUGGCGGGGGAAGGGAAGGCGACUGUGCCUGGAGGGCCGAGCCGCCCGGCCUCGCCAGCCCGCCGCCGCCUCAGCUUUUGGCCGGGGGCGGGGCCGCAGGUGCGUUACACGAAAGGGCGGGGUGCGGCCGGAGGGGCCGGGGGUAGGGGUCCUAGCCGGGCCGUGGGCUUCGCCCCGGGUCUGUCCGCGCCGCACGACUGGGCUGUGGAAAGAGGCAGGCGGCGAGAGGUCUGGGGGCCGCGGACUGCUCGGCGGGCGGGCCGAUGAAAGGCCUGGAAAAAGGGGGGAGGGGUCAAGGGUGCAGUUGGGGGAGGGGCUGGUCAUUUUCUGGGUCCAGAGGGCCGAGCUAGCGGAGCGAGGCUGCUGCCCCCCAUUUCCUCCGCGGGUUCCCACCCCGGGUCAGCGGCUCACAAUCCCGCGACCCUUCGCCUCCCUCCUCGUCGUAGUCCAGCCGUGACCAUCGCAGCCUCUUGAAUACAAAAGUAAAUAAGCAAGAUGCGUCCACCUUUGGAUGACUUAACUCGCGGUCUAGACCCUCUACUUAAAGGGGCAUUUCAGUUUGUUGUCAUAUAAGGUCAGCUUGGAAGGAGUGAUCCGGAGGCACCGGCAGUCUUGUUUAGUCAAUAAAUGAGUGAAGACCAUGGACUAAGAAUUGAUGCUGAAUAUUCUGAGUUUUUUAAAAAUGGAAAAGAAAGGUGCUAGUAAGUCUGGUUUUCUGGACCAAACAUUAUUUAUGGGCUUUAUUGACCUAGUGAAAGAAAACGGCGCAGUUUUUCAUUGUCCACCUGAGUCAUUUGGUUCAAUUUGGACUGCCAAGGAGGCUCUAUUUGGAGCAUUUUCUCCAGGUUUUACGGUUUGCUUGCUUUGGGGUUUUUGAAUCACAGUUGUUGUAAGAGAUCUUAAAGCCUUAAUUCCCAUCUGGUUACCAACUUACUGUGGCCACUUCUAGAACUUUUAUUGUGUACUAAGUUGGCUGCCUAUGUCUGUUAACAGAUCACAGGGACUGCUGUCAACAGGACAAAUACAUCUCCACACAAUUAUUUUUCGAUUCUUUUAUUUCUACACGUCUACACUCUUCCUCAUGUACUCCAAGGUAGUUCUUUUGGAUACAUUGUAUUUAUUUUUCAGAGACAUGGGUUCAAGGGAUAGAUAAACCAAUAUGUAUGUAUGUUGCAAGUUUGAAAUAUUUUUACAUAACUCUUAUAUAGUUAUAUUCUUGAACAUAUAAAAUUUAGGAGGAAAUAAAAAGUGACAGAAUGUAAAUAAAAGGCACAUAUAGAAUGCCUACACCAGGGAAGGAACUGUAACUUUGAAAUUGUAACAUGAUGGAUCGCAAAUGUGAAAUCCUGCAACUAGGCAUUUUACUCAGUAAGUUCUUUCAGGUAAAAUAUUAAGUGAAAUUUGAAAAGGGGUCAUGUUUACUUUUUGAGUAACUGGGAGAUGCAAAAUAAAACUGGGAAGCCAUUGUCUUAUUUCAUCUGGGUAUAAGUAUUAUGGGAUGUUUUACUUGACUCAUGUUAGCAGAUGUCAGUCAUCAGUUUUGUUAAUCUUAUUGACAUCCAUUUGUGUAGUUGGAAUUUAUCGUUUUAAAAUAUAUUGGUUUCAUUAUAAAACAUAGAGGGACCCCAAAUUACCUCUGUUUGCCAGAGUCAGUUGUUAUUUCUGGAUAUGGUAUUUAAGGUUGCUUGAAUACAGAGCUCUUCAUCACAAACACAUUAUGCUGACAUGAUACACAGAAUCUAUGUAACACAAGAGUCCUGAAGUUUGUCCUCUCUGGUGGUAAAUGCUCAUCUUCAAUUUAAAAUUUUAACUGCAGCUAAGUCCACCCCACUACCAAUGUGAUAUGAAUGAGACUGUAUCUUUCCAGAGAAGUAAUCCUUUAAAAGUCAACCAGUCAAAUGCAGAGCUACCCACCAUCCAGCUCUGCUAAACAAACAAAUAGCUCACUCUAACAUACAAAGACUGGAGAGGAUGACUUGGGAGCCCAAACCUCUGUUAAAAAGAGUGUACAGUACCAAAUCAGAAUUGAAAAAGUUAUGACUUGAUUACUGCUCAAAAUAUUAAACUUAUAACAGCUUUUGUACUGGUUUUAGAAAAUUGAAGGCUUUACUGGACGUCAGUCAUUACAGAAGUUAAAAUAUCCAAAAAGUGUAUUUAGCCAAUUGAAUAUUUCCAACAUACUUUGAAAGAAGAGAUUUCUCUCUCACUCACAAAUAGAUUUGUUUGUAGUUUAUUUCUCAGAAAAUUUUAGUGAUUUUGAUUUUUGUUACCAAAAAGAAAUAAUAUAGCUCAGCCAAAGCUGAGCCAUUUGCCCCAGGCUACUUAACCAAACAUCAAAACAAAACACCACCACCACUGCCCUUAUAGUCCCUGUUUUACGGAAUUGUUUCUUAAAUUGGACUUCAUUUCAUAUUAUAGGAAAUAAAUGUUCCCUUAAUGGCUCUGAAUAUCAGACACAGUGAGAAGAGAAGCCCCAUAUCAAGGAAUGUAGCUGAAUUUUGGAGUGAGAAAAUGAGUUCCUAACUCUUGAAUGAUUCUACAAUGGGAGUUAGGUUAUGAAAGAUACAGAGUUUGUAACUUCUGGAACUGGAUUUGAUUCACAUUGAGAAGAAUAAAUGAGAUACAAUUCAAAAGUUUGAGCCCCUAGGGAGAAAGAUGGCCUUCAAGUAAGGAAAGAUAACUUCCUGCCUUCCAGAACAGGAAGAAUAUUUUCCUUCAAGAACCAUUCCCAACAAAUGAGCAAUCUUAUUCUCUAAGAGGUAUGAGCAAUGAGUGUCCUUAGCCUCGAUACAUUUUGAAAAGUACGGUUUUAUAAGUAACCCGCGUUGAUGCUGCUGCCAUUUUAACUCAUUUACCCUUGCCUGGCCUCUAAAAAUGAAGACCCUCUGGUUAGCAUCCUUUUAGGAGUCAAGUUAAGGUAUUCACAGUUUAGCUUCUUGCUCUUCAGCCUGCAUCACAUACACUGGAACCUGGCCAUAGUACUUUUUCACCUACAUCAUGGUUUCGCUGCCUGGACCCCAAAAGACAAUGAUAUGGAAAGACUCCAGCUUAGUUAUGUUCUCUUUUGUCUUUCUAUAUAAAUAGCUUUUACAAAUGCAGAUUAUUUUUCCCCUUUUUUUAGAAAUGUAAAUUAUUCUUUUGAAAUUCAUGGUAACAAACGUGAAGGCUAUUGCAUUCUGAUUUGAAUAGCAAAGGCAUGUUGAGGUUCAGGAUCUAAAAAGGUAAACAUUCUUAAUUCUUUUGCUUAAUAAAGCACUGGAUGAUUUUAUCGUUCAAAUUAUUGAAUUUCAGAAUUAUUGAAUUUUGUUAAAUUAUUGACACCUAAUCACUGUGUUGGUUAUGGAGAAAAAGCACUGUCAUUAUGCAGUAUAUAAUGAAAAUAGUCAUUAUAUGUGAUUUUUUAAAUAGUAAAAAUCACAAAAGCAGCUUAAAGGUAGUUUA